AUGCAGUUUCAAGAUGAUGGGAUUCAGGUUCAGGAUGAGUUUCAAGAUGACUCUGAUGGGAAUUAUGGGAUUCAGGUUCAGGAUGAGUUUCAAGAUUACUCUGAUGGGGAUUAUGGGAUUCAGGUUCAAGAUGACUCUGAUGGGAAUUAUGGGAUUCAGCUGCAGAGUGUUCCUGCUAUAGAAGAUGGGGAACAGGGAGGCUUUCCCACGGGAGGGAAUGGUGUUGUUGAUGCUGAAGUUUCAUAGGUGCAAGAGGCUGAUAGGGAAAGCAGCUCUCAGCCUGAUAACACUAAUGAGCAAUUUGGCCUUGACAAUGGAACGUCUCUGGACCGGGCUAGUCGUUUGGAAUUUAGGGGGGUUCAUAGAAGUCUUAGAAUAGCAAAUAAGAGAGAGAUCAGAGGCCAAAUAAAUGCCUUCAUGUUAUGCUAUUAAAACAGUCUGCUGUUAGAUAAAGAAAUCUUUAUCAAAGCAAUAUCUCUUUGAAUCGAGAAGCAAGUCCUGCUUUCCUGGAUUAUUUGUAGCUUUGGUGUAUUCUCGCUUAUGGGACUUUGUCAUGUACUGAAAGGACUUUGUUUCAUGCCAACUGUUUCUUUGGAUUAUUUCUUGUUUUGUAACUAUCUUUUGGAACUGAACUUUUGCCUUUUACGAACUAUCUUUUCCUUUUCCUUCCAAUAAACUACAAAAGACAAUAUCCUGUGUGCUGCCUGGUAUAUUUAGCAAGGUGAAGCUAGCCUGCAAAAACACCCCUAUUAAUUAUACAGUGUAGAUGCAUCGCCUUUGAUUCCAACUCCAAUAACUCCUGGCCAGAUUAGCCAGUGGACAAGUGUGCUGGCAGAUGUGAUUGAGCAAUGUCUUUUUCUCUACUCCUGCCACAUAAGAUGGUUGCAUGGCAACCUCUUGUUUAACAAUAACCGGUGCAGCCAUUGGCUGGAGGAAAACACUGGGGGUUUGUGAUGUCACGGCUGCCUGGAGACCACAUGACCACAGAAGGUCAGCCAAGGAGGCCAAGAAAGGAGUCAACCGGGCAGAGUCAACCAGGCCAGUCAGCUGGAAGGAGGGCACUUGGCAGCUCUGAGCAUCUCUUGU
rnacentral:lncRNA from 1 species